UGGGAAGUCGGACUCCGACCUCUGUCCUCAGCCCUGUCCAGACCGCCCACGUGCGGACAGCGCUCAGCUCGGGGCUGGGGCGGGUAUCUUCAGAAACAGCUACUGGUUUGGAGUCCACCCCAGAGCCCCAGGUGCAUCCCGAAAUCUGGCCCCAGGCUGCACUGAAACAUGCAGGUGGUUGUGCCUGGUACCAACGGGACUCCUUCCCUGCAAGUAUUGGCAAACAGAAAACCAACGAUAUUGUAACUAAACUAAACUAAACAAUUUUGCUUUGAAUAAUGGGAUGAUUGAUGGCAGUUUCUGUGCAGUUUUAUGACAGAAAAGAAUUGGCAGGACAUAAGGGUUUUUCCUUGACUUGGCACGUGCUCUGUGAGGUGCCCUUGAGCAUACAAUUCCCCGGUUUCACUGUUUGAACUUGUGAAAUAUGGACAAUAGGGUUAUUUCCUUCUGCUUAAUAAGAUGAGUGAGGCAAAUGUUUGCAAGAUGUCUUGAGAAGUUUGCUGGAAAUUUUAAGACAAAUUCUUCCGAAAUAAUUUUCUCAAAACCCCAGUUUAUUGAAUUCCCUAGCACAAAAAUUAAAUGCAAUUCCAAAAUGAUGUUAAAAAAGAGAAAGGUUUCAAUUCCAUAAUAUGCCAUAAACCCUGUCAUAAACAUUGGAGGUGGCCUUGUCUAGCUGAGGCCAUGGAAACUAUGUCCUAAUCGAAUUGUUUCUUUCCAUUUCCCUAACUUUAGAUCAACAGAAAUAUGCAGUUCACUUCAUAAUGACAUUUAUUCAAGGUUAUGAUAACAAACUAACUGUCUCUCCCAGUGAUGCAUACGUUCUGGUGCUUUCCAGCCCAAGGCCUACUUGCUUGCUUUUCUUUCAAACCUCAUUCAUUCUCAGUCUUCUCAGCCAGAAAGUUCAUGCUUCAGAACUGAAGGUGGCCUGGUGGUUUUUACCUCUGACCUCCAGCAAGUACUACAAACAAGAAAAGAUUCUGAAGAAUCAAUCAAGCUUUCUGCCGAGGCAGAGUAACACCUUUGU
rnacentral:lncRNA from 1 species